rnacentral:rRNA from 1 species
UACGUAGGGUGCGAGCGUUGUCCGGAAUUAUUGGGCGUAAAGGGCUCGUAGGCGGUUCGUUAUGUCGGAUGUGAAAGCCCUUGGCUUAACCGAGGAAGUGCAUCCGAAACUGGCGAGCUAGAGUACGAAAGAGGAUCGCGGAAUUCCCGGUGUAGAGGUGAAAUUCGUAGAUAUCGGGAGGAACACCGGUGGCGAAGGCGGCGAUCUGGGUCGAUACUGACGCUGAGGUGCGAAAGCGUGGGGAGCAAACAGG